rnacentral:misc_RNA from 1 species
UCGUAACAAGGUUUCCGUAGGUGAACCUGCGGAAGGAUCAUUACUGAUUUGCUUAAUUGCACCACAUGUGUUUUUCUUUGAAACAAACUUGCUUUGGCGGUGGGCCCAGCCUGCCGCCAGAGGUCUAAACUUACAACCAAUUUUUUAUCAACUUGUCACACCAGAUUAUUACUAAUAGUCAAAACUUUCAACAACGGAUCUCUUGGUUCUCGCAUCGAUGAAGAACGCAGCGAAAUGCGAUACGUAAUAUGAAUUGCAGAUAUUCGUGAAUCAUCGAAUCUUUGAACGCACAUUGCGCCCUCUGGUAUUCCGGAGGGCAUGCCUGUUUGAGCGUCGUUUCUCCCUCAAACCGCUGGGUUUGGUGUUGAGCAAUACGACUUGGGUUUGCUUGAAAGACGGUAGUGGUAAGGCGGGAUCGCUUUGACAAUGGCUUAGGUCUAACCAAAAACAUUGCUUGCGGCGGUAACGUCCACCACGUAUAUCUUCAAACUUUGACCUCAAAUCAGGUAGGACUACCCGCUGAACCUAAGCAUAUCA